AACGAACGCUGGCGGCAUGCCUAACACAUGCAAGUCGAACGAGACCUUCGGGUCUAGUGGCGCACGGGUGCGUAACGCGUGGGAACCUGCCCUUAGGUUCGGAAUAACUCCCCGAAAGGGGUGCUAAUACCGGAUAAUGUCUUCGGACCAAAGAUUUAUCGCCUUUGGAUGGGCCCGCGUUGGAUUAGCUAGUUGGUAGGGUAAAAGCCUACCAAGGCGACGAUCCAUAGCUGGUCUGAGAGGAUGCUCAGCCACACUGGGACUGAGACACGGCCCAGACUCCUACGGGAGGCAGCAGUGGAGAAUAUUGGACAAUGGGCGAAAGCCUGAUCCAGCAAUGCCGCGUGAGUGAUGAAGGCCUUAGGGUUGUAAAGCUCUUUUACCCGGGAUGAUAAUGACAGUACCGGGAGAAUAAGCUCCGGCUAACUCCGUG
rnacentral:rRNA from 1 species